UGAUAGCUAUGAAGCGUGAGGUUGCUGCACAUGUUGCAGGUUUUCCGUGGAGCGAAUGUCAGUGGCGGAUAUAUGUUCCGCCGAUAAUAUUGACGACAA
rnacentral:ncRNA from 1 species